rnacentral:rRNA from 1 species
GACGAACGCUGGCGGCGUGCUUAACACAUGCAAGUCGAGCGGUAAGGCCCUUUCGGGGGUACACGAGCGGCGAACGGGUGAGUAACACGUGGGUGACCUGCCCUCAGCUCUGGGAUAAGCCUGGGAAACCGGGUCUAAUACCGGAUAUGACUCCAUGACGCAUGUUGGUGGGGUGGAAAGCCUUGUGCGGCUGAGGAUGGGCCCGCGGCCUAUCAGCUUGUUGGUGGGGUGAGGCCUACCAAGGCGACGACGGGUAGCCGGCCUGAGAGGGCGACCGGCACACUGGGACUGAGACACGGCCCAGACUCCUACGGGAGGCAGCAGUGGGGAAUCUUGCGCAAUGGGCGAAAGCCUGACGCAGCGACGCCG